rnacentral:rRNA from 1 species
GCUGUCGUCAGCUCGUGUCGUGAGAUGUUGGGUUAAGUCCCGCAACGAGCGCAACCCUCGUCACUAGUUACUAACGGUUCGGCCGAGGACUCUAGUGAGACUGCCUUCGCAAGGAGGAGGAAGGUGAGGACGACGUCAAGUCAUCAUGGCCCUUACGGCUAGGGCAACACACGUGCUACAAUGGCCAGGACAGUGAGACGCGAUACCGCGAGGUGGAGCAAAUCUAUAAACCUGGUCUCAGUUCGGAUUGUAGUCUGCAACUCGACUACAUGAAGCUGGAAUCACUAGUAAUCGUAGAUCAGCUAUGCUACGGUGAAUACGUUCCCGGGUCUUGUACUCACCGCCCGUCACACCAUGGGAGUUGAUUUCACCCGAAGCGGGGAAGCUAAACUGGCUACCCUCCACGGUGGAAUUAGCGACUGGGGUGAAGUCGUAACAAGGUAACC